CAAGAAAAUUGCCAUUAUGUUUGAUAAUUUUGGCGGUGCUAACUUAUGCCAUAAUGUUCAUGGUUUUUAUGGCGGCUUUUGUUGAUUGUGGCGUUUGGAACCGCCAUAGAAUUUUUGUUUUCUUUUCUAUUUUGAGUGAUGUUGCAUAUGAGAAAAUGAGGAUGAUGUCAAUGAUGAACCCUAAUUUCUUGCCGUUGUUCAUCUUCCACUAAUUUGUCAUUAAACUUCUUACUGUCACUCAUCCCCUUGUUGCAGCUCAUCUCCUCGUUGCUGCAAGCAACGUCGUUGUCAUUGCCUUCAUUGAGCUUCUACGAUUUGGCUUCGAUCUGAAGACUUGUCAGCAUUCGUCGAAGCUCUGAUUUCUAUGUUUCUUCAAUUCAUAGAUUUUCUCUCUCCCUGACGUUUAGUUUCUUCACCUCGGAGCUCCAAAAAAACCACCACCAGCACUGAGCGCCACCAUGGAAGGUGGCGGAGCAACGCUAUCGGAUGUUUAUCAAAGCGCGAAGAAACUCCUCCUGAAUAGGUGCGACUGCGUGGAACGCCUCGAGCGCCUCGACUACUUUGCCUCCUCUGAUCUCUCGCUCUCCCUCUCCAACAACAUCUCUCAGAUUUAAUCCCUAUGCGUCUAGAUGGAUUGAUUUUAGCGCUCCAUCGCCGCUAAAUCUCAACGCGAUCUCUGGAAAAGAAAAGGGGAACAUAUAGCUGAAGAGAAAAACUCUCUGAAACAGUCUUUAGAUAAAUAUAACAUAAAAAAUCAUGAACAGAUCACAGAAGCUAAAGAUAGAGAAGAGCUUCUGGGACGAGCAAAUGAGAAUUUUCGUGAUGCUGGUGAGGCCAAAAUUGUUGAUGAGUUUCGUCAAGCUCUCAUUUUGGAUGAGCUUCUCCUUUCCAAGCACGAUGACUAUCACAUGUUGCUCAAGUUCAUUCUUAGUAAUGCAUGCUAAAAAGCUUCAUAAUAAUGGAGGCAUAUAAAAUUCAAAAAAUAAUUGUUACAACUAUCCUAAAGCCUUGAGCCAAAUGUACAUCAUUAAUGCUGGUUCUGGAUUCAGAAUAUUGUGGAGCACUGUCAAAUCCUUCCUUAACCCAAAGACCACAUCUAAGAUCCAUAUGAGAACAAAGAUUGUAUGCUAAUUAAUCCUCUUUAAUUCUACAUUUACAAGUACUUGGCAACAAGUAUCAAAGCAAACCGAAAAUGAGAGGCAAGCUAAUGAACUAGAAAGUGAGUCAUUAACCGAGGAUGAUAAAGUCGAGGAAUGUAUAUUUGCAGAUAAAGAAGCAAACCUUUGUGCUAAUGUUGUUGCUCAUGUUUCUGAGGCUUAUCAGUUUAAUGUUUAGAAGUUCUUAAAUGGGCUUGAUUUUGGAAUGUUUGACUACCAAUAUGUUGUUCCUGUUCAUGCGAAAGUUGCUCAGAGGAAAAAGAGAAAUUGGUCAGAACUUGAGGAACCACACUUCGGUGAGCGUGGUCUUAUGGAUGUGGAUCAUGAGGACAUUAUGCUUAUUGUGCCUUCAUUCAUCUUGCAACUUUUAGAAUGAGAUGAGCCUAAGAGAUUUGGAGAUAACUAGAAUGCAAAGCUUACUGCAAGUUGAGGUGUCCAGAAAGGAUGAUGUAAUUAAAGGGUUGCUCUAUGACCUGAGCUUGCUGCAAGAGUUAGCAUCUAAUAAUAAAGACCAAAAAGUAUUAUUAGUCCUAAAGUAUCUAUUUUUGCAUGACUAUUUCUCUUUGCUAUUUUCAGUUCAUGAUUAGUGUGCAAGGUGGUACUUAUUUAGUUAUUUGAGAUCAAGUGAAAUAUGGCUAGUGGUACUUAUUUAGUUACUUAUUUUCUGUUCAUUUCCUCUUAUCUCACCGCAUAAUAAUGACAUAAUCUCCUCAAGGUUAUUAUUGACUUUUGCAAUCAUUUCAUUUGCAAACAAAAAUAUAUUAUAUUGUGUUACUUUCUCUAUUUUGUAGAUCAAGAGUGCUUCCUCCUCUCACUUUGCCACUUGCAACUAAAAUUGCUUUUCUUGGCCUCAUCGGGUAUAAUGCAAAUUGUAACAAUAAAUACAGUUCCACUACUCUCUUAUUUUUUCCUUACAAUCCAGGUCAAAAUUAUUGGAAUAUUUUAUCUAUUUUAGGUAGGUGUCUAAUUAAUAGAUUCUUUUUAUAAAAAUUUAAAUUUUGAUAGGCUUAUCUAUAUUGGGUGUGGGGAUUUUGUUUUAUAUUCACUCCUGUAUGAUAAGCUAAUCAUUUGAAGCACAUAUUGUGACAAUAGAGGCAUAAUCUAAGAGAUUGACAUAUCAUAUAUUUUGUUGUUCUGAGGCAACAUUCAAUUGAGACAUAAUGAACGUGAUGAGAUACACUCACAUGAUAUUUUUUUCUCCCAUUUCCCCUUUUUAUAUUGUCAACUAUUAGAUUUUAUAUAUGGAUAUAUGCAUAAUCAUAUUGCUCCUGUAGAUCAAAUCCUUUGAUUUCUUUCACUGGCCACUAUGUUAUAUACAUGGAUAUAUAAACAAGAUUACUGUUUGGUUGUUCUUAAUUCUCAUUUUUUGUUUAAAUUUAUUUUGUGCUAUUGAUGAGUGGAUAAUUUGUACCCUUUUUGGUAUUAUUUUUAGUAUGUUUUUAGUAUGAUCUAGUUAGUUUUUAGUAUAUUUUUAUUAGUUUUUAGUUAAAAUUCACUUUUCUGGACUUUACUAUGAGUUUGUGUGUUUUUCUGUGAUUUCAGGUAUUUUCUGGCUGAAAUUGAGGGUCCUGAGCAAAAAUCUGAUUCAGAGACUGAAAAGGACUGCAGAUGCUGUUGGAUUCUGACCUCCCUGCACUCGAAGUGGAUUUUCUGGAGCUACAGAAGACCAAAUGGCGCGCUCUCAACGGCAUUGGAAAGUAGACAUCCUGGGCUUUUCAGCAAUGUAUAAUAGUCCAUACUUUGCCCGAGAUUUGAUGGCCCAAACCGGCGUUGCAAAUCAGCCUCAGAAAUUCUAGCGUUUAACGCUGGAACUGGCAUAAAACUUGGAGUUAAACGCCCAAACUGGCAUGAAAGCUGGCGUUUAACUCCAGAAAAGGUCUCUACACUUGAAAGCUUCAAUGCUCAGCCCAAGCACACACCAAGUGGGCCCGGAAGUGGAUUUUUCUUUCAUUUACUCAUUUCUGUAAACCUUAGGUUACUAGUUUACUAUUAAUAGGAUCUUUUGACAUUGUAUCAGAACCUCAUGACACUUUACACGUUUCUUUGUGUACUUUCCACGGUAUGAGUCUCUAAACCCCAUGGUUGGGGGUGAGGAGCUCUGCUGUGUCUUGAUGGAUUAAUGCAAUUACUACUGUUUCUUAUUCAA